UCUUCACGUUCAGAAUCAAGAACAUUAUUUCUGUGACACUCAAGAUGAAUGCUUCUCCAUGCAUAGUGACUGUGAUACUCCUUCUGGGAGGGAUCCAUGGAGACUCAGUGACCCAGAUAGAAGAUAAAAUGACCGUGUCAGAAGGGUCUUUCCUGACUAUAAACUGUACUUAUACAGCCACAGGGUACCCUUCUCUGUUCUGGUAUUUUCAAUACCCUGGAGAAGGUCUACAGCUCCUCUUCAGAGUCUCAAAGGCCAAUGAGAAGGGCAGCAACAGAGGUUUUCAAGCCACGUACAAUAAAGAAGCCACCUCCUUCCACUUGGAGAAAGACUGUGUCCAAGAGUCAGACUCGGCUGUGUACUACUGUGCCCUGGGUGACACAGUGGCAGAAACUGCAGGGGGAGCUGAGCACAAACCCUGAGCAGCAACCAGGGACCUGGCUGUUGAGUGUCUGCCUCUGGUAUUCACUCUGGUUUCUGCACACCUACGGUGGGUUCCCCUCAGUUUCUCUGGCUAAUGAAAAAUCAUACACAUAUCCCGAACAGAAG